GCUGUGCACAAAAAAAUGGUUUUGACAUUUAACCUCCACCCAGGAGGUGCUGGGUUGUGAUGGUGAAGGCUUCAGGCUAAGCUGUAUCCUAGAAGUUCUCUGCAGGACAGACUGGGAGGAAUACUGAAUCAGUAGGUCCAGUUUUAGAUGUGGUUUGCACUGUCCUUUCCAGGACAAAAUCUGGUCUUUAUUCCUUCCCCACUCCAUACCACCCAACACAUGAAUGAAGACUGAAUCCCAUUUUCUAGUGGAAACUCAACAAUUAAAUCUUGCUUCCACUGGGAGGUGAAACGGGAGUCUGGACCCCUUCAGCUGCUAAACAGGAUGAAGAGUCCCAGGUCGCUCAGCCUGAGGGGGGGUCAGUCUGCAGCUUCCCUCCCGGGUGCAAAGUGGGACCUUUUGUCCUCAAAUGGGGUGUUCUGCUGAGACCCAUCAGGCUCACCUGGGAGGGCAGGACCAGACUACUAGCUUGCCCAGCAGCUGUCUUUGCUCGUCUAGGUAUAUCCUUGGCUGCUGACACCUUCCUUGUGCCCUGAUAUUUUGGUGUUGAGAAUGAUUCUCUGCUUCUUUUAGUCCUGCCUGAAUCCCAGAGGUGGAAUUUUGCAAAGGAAAAACAGCCCUGUGUCCAGUGUGCCAGAUGUGACCAUUAAGAAAAGCUUCUCUGACAAAUCUAUUCUCAAGCACAAGGGCACACAUUCCAUGGCAGUUCCUGCUUAGCAACUCUGCAGAAGCUGUGAGGUUGCUCACACAGUAACUGCACCACAUCUAAUGCAGCACCCGUGCCAGUUAGCCAGGAGAAAUCUCUCUUAAAGCCUAUUUUGUCCCAACUCUUAAAAGCUGUUCCACUAGAUCUGUAGUUGAGUGCUAGAUGCUAGAUCUGUAGUUGAGUCUGGACCAUUCACUGGGCAUUCACCAACAACUCAAAACUAUCUAACACUUCAUCUGUUUUUCCUGAUGGUGAGUUGUUCUAGUGAUAAUUUUUAAACCCAGACCUGACCUCCUCCGUCCACUAACUCCAUUAAAUCUCCCUCACAUCCCAUCUCCAGAAGCUCUUGCUUAAUUUAUUCACUUAAGAAAACAUGCUCCUCUGCCUGCCUUCCACAAAAGCUUUAAAAAGCUAAGGUUACACAUUUAAGACAAAUAAAUAAUUGAUUUAGCAGACUUGCUUUAACACCUGCUAUAAAGAUUGCAAAACCAUUCCCAUUCUACCUAUAACUCAAUUUUUCUCACACUCAUAACUCAGAACAUGUUUCCCUCUGGGUUUAAUAGUUUCCAUAUUCUUUUGUGUCUGAAGAUGUAUUGUUAAAUAUUCUCACUACUGGAGGUAGUUUGGGCAAUGUCU